AUCUGACCGCUGAAUCCUGAACCCACUUGCAUUCUAAACGGGUGGAUAGACAUAAACAAAGCCAGGAGGAAACCUGUUAAACAGAGACAAUAUGCAAUUCUUUCUCUCUGUGGACAGACGGAAUGGGCUCUGUCUGUAGGAGGAGAUGCCCUCAGCCCUCUGCUGACUCAUUUGCAUUGUGAUGCUCCCUGGGCAAAGCUGAGUAAAUCAGAUUACGUCACCCUGGGAUGGCUUCCUGCUGCAGGUGAAGAACACAUCCCAAGCUCAGAAAAGCGCGGGGCUCCCGGGUCCUCAGUCAGUACACAGGUGCGCUAGGAUGCUGGAGUCAGAGGCCCUAUUGUAACGGGAAGAAGGGAUCCCCUCUUGCAGGAAAGCGGGCUACUGGGAAGAUGGGCAGGCUUUUCCCAUCUCCAUCUUGAGGAAUGACGAGGCUUGGGGUGACCUGCUUGCUGCCUGGGAAGGAGUCAGACCACACCAGCUUCUGUUGGAUCUAUGCCCAGCAGGCAGGAAAGUUCAUCUCACACAGUCCCUGUCUCUCUCACUGAGUGGCGUGAAAGGGAAGACACUGAUCAGAGCAAUAAAC
rnacentral:lncRNA from 1 species